rnacentral:rRNA from 1 species
AAUCAACGCUGGCGGCGUGCCUCAGACAUGCAAGUCGAACGCGAAAUCCCGAGCAAUCGGGAGAGUAGAGUGGCGCACGGGUGAGUAACACGUAGGUAAUCUACCUUCGGAUGGGGAAUAACAACCGGAAACGGUUGCUAAUACCGCAUAAUGCAGCGGCACCUAAUGGUGACAGUUGUUAAAGCGGGGGAUCGAAAGACCUCGCGUCUGAAGAGGAGCCUGCGGCGGAUUAGCUAGUUGGUAAGGUAAUGGCUUACCAAGGCAACGAUCCGUAACCGGCCUGAGAGGGCGGUCGGUCACACUGACACUGACAUACGGGUCAGACUCCUACGGGAGGCAGCAGUGGGGAAUAUUGGACAAUGGGCGCAAGCCUGAUCCAGCAAUGCCGCGUGAGUGAAGAAGG